GUAUUUUUGUUGACUGAGACUUUUUAGCUUUGCUUUUCCCUGUGUAGAGUCUCUAUUCUCUCUCUUGACAUUUUCAUUUUCCUCUUUCUCUUCUCUGCAACUUUCCUUUGAAAACUCUAAUUUUCCUUUUUAAAACUCUUUCUCUUCUCUAAUUUUCCUUUUCCCUGGUUAGAGUCUCUUCUCUAUUGCUUUCUCUCUUGCCAUUGCCUCCUGAAUCUCUUCAUCUUCAACUCCCUGCAAUCACCAACCAAUAAUGGGUGAUCUGAUUGAAAUUAUGGCUUCUACAACAGUUAGGAUGGUGCGCCCACACUGUCCAACAAUUAUAGUCUUUCUUAUCAAUUGCAUUAAAAUAUUACAAACUGUUCAAGAUUUCUGCAACUUCUAUCAGUUUCAUAUACAAUCAAGCUUUAAAAUAUUGCAAACUGUUCAAGAUUUCUCCAACUUUUAUUAGUUUCAAAUACAAUCAAGUUAUAUGUUGCCCUAUCUAGAGCAAAAACUUUAUCAGCUCUAAGAAUUCUCAUUAGACCACCAUCAGAGGCAACAAAGAUGAUUAUAAUUAUACCUUCAACAUUGUUUAUGAAGAGAUCUUAUUAUUAAGCAAUACUAUACAGAAGUUCUUAUAUCAAACAUGAAUCCUCAAUAUAAAUUACUACAAGAAAUUACACCAACUACUAGAGGAUGGAUAGCAAAAGUUACUGUUAUUAAAAAAUUUAUCCCACCUCUUUCUCGCAAUGGAGUAUUGUACCAACGUAUAAUUCUUGUUGAUAUUGAUGUAUAUUUAUUACAACUCAUAAAUCUAUAUAAACUAUAUAAAUUAAAUUUAAAUUUUGUUUCAGUUACAAAAUAUAAGAUUAUUAAUUAAUUAACUAUAAAUUCUCUACAAAAGAUACUUUCUUACAUUACUUUGUGUAUUUUUUAUUUAUUAUAAAUAGAAAAAUCGCAUACAAGCUACUCUGUAUGGCAAUGCAAUCAAUCAUUUCGGGGAUACCUUAAAUAUUUCACAAGCCUACUUAAUUUCCAAUGCUUAUAAAGCCAGUACAUGAAGAGUUUAAAAUUGUUGACAAUCAAUUUGAAUGGAGCCUACUUCUACAUCAAUUGAAGAAACAACUGAAGAAAUUCAAUGGAGCUUUGAAGAACCCUACAACUUGUAUUAUCUUGAUCAACUAGACGCCUAUGUUGAUACAAAAACUUCUGUUGAUAUUGUUGCAGUUGUGUUAAGUGCUGAUCCAAUAAAAAAAAUCCACAUAAGGUCUGGACCUGCAAAUAUUCAAUAAUUCCUCCUUGUUGAUCAAAGGUCUAAAACUAAUAUCUCUUAUAUUUUUUAGAAACUUACUGCACAUGUUAUAUUAAUAUUUUUUUUUUUU